rnacentral:rRNA from 1 species
AUUGAACGCUGGCGGCAUGCUUUACACAUGCCAGUCGAACGGCAGCGCGGGCUUCGGCCUGGCGGCGAGUGGCGAACGGGUGAGUAAUACAUCGGAACGUGCCCAGUAGUGGGGGAUAGCUCGGCGAAAGCCGGAUUAAUACCGCAUACGACCUGAGGGUGAAAGCGGGGGAUCUUCGGACCUCGCGCUAUUGGAGCGGCCGAUGGCAGAUUAGCUAGUUGGUGGGGUAAAGGCCUACCAAGGCGACGAUCUGUAGCUGGUCUGAGAGGACGACCAGCCACACUGGGACUGAGACACGGCCCAGACUCCUACGGGAGGCAGCAGUGGGGAAUUUUGGACAAUGGGCGAAAGCCUGCUCCAGCAAUGCCGCGUGUGUGAUGAAGGCCUUCGUGUUGUAAAGCACUUUUGGCGGGAACGAAAAGGACUGUGCCAAGACCACGGUUCGAUGACGGUACCCGAAGAAUAAGCACCGGCUAACUACGU